GGCUGAGUGGUGAAGCGCUUGGCUUUUCGAAUCAAGAGGUCCCGGGUUCGAAUCCCGU
rnacentral:tRNA from 1 species